UAGGGAAUCUUCGGCAAUGGGGGGAACCCUGACCGAGCAACGCCGCGUGAGUGAAGAAGGUUUUCGGAUCGUAAAGCUCUGUUGUUAAGGAAGAACGAGUGUGAGAAUGGAAAGUUCAUGCUGUGACGGUACUUAACCAGAAAGGGACGGCUAACUACGUGCCAGCAGCCGCGGUAAUACGUAGGUCCCGAGCGUUGUCCGGAUUUAUUGGGCGUAAGGCGAGCGCAGGCGGUUAGAAAAGUCUGAAGUGAAAGGCAGUGGCUCAACCAUUGUAGGCUUUGGAAACUGUUUAACGUGAGUGCAGAAGGGGAGAGUGGAAUUCCAUGUGUAGCGGUGAAAUGCGUAGAUAUAUGGAGGAACACCGGUGGCGAAAGCGGCUCUCUGGUCUGUAACUGACGCUGAGGCUCGAAAGCGUGGGGAGCGAACAGG
rnacentral:rRNA from 1 species